rnacentral:rRNA from 1 species
GAUGAACGCUGGCGGCGUGCCUAAUACAUGCAAGUCGAGCGAACAGACGAGGAGCUUGCUCCUCUGACGUUAGCGGCGGACGGGUGAGUAACACGUGGAUAACCUACCUAUAAGACUGGGAUAACUUCGGGAAACCGGAGCUAAUACCGGAUAAUAUAUUGAACCGCAUGGUUCAAUAGUGAAAGACGGUUUUGCUGUCACUUAUAGAUGGAUCCGCGCCGCAUUAGCUAGUUGGUAAGGUAACGGCUUACCAAGGCAACGAUGCGUAGCCGACCUGAGAGGGUGAUCGGCGACACUGGAACUGAGACACGGUCCAGAGUACUACGGGAGGCAGCAGUAGGGAAGCUUACGCAAUGGGCGAAAGCCUGACGGAGCAGCGCGGAGUGAGUGAUGAAGGUCUUCGGAUCGUAAAACUCUGUUAUGAGGGAAGAACAAAUGUGUAAGUAACUAUGCACGUCGUGACGGUACCUAAUCAGAAAGACACGGCUAACUACGUG